rnacentral:miRNA from 1 species
GUCGAGCUGUCCGUACUCGUCG